GGGAUUACCUCAGUAACGGCGAGUGAAGCGGUAAAGCUCGUAUUUGAAAUCUGGCUCUUUCAGGGUCCGAGUUGUAAUUUGUAGAAGAUGCUUCGAGUGUGGUCCCGGUCUAAGUUCCUUGGAACAGGACGUCAUAGAGGGUGAGAAUCCCGUAUGUGACUGGGUGCCUUCGCUCAUGUGAAGCUCUUUCGACGAGUCGAGUUGUUUGGGAAUGCAGCUCAAAAUGGGUGGUAAAUUUCAUCUAAAGCUAAAUAUUGGCCAGAGACCGAUAGCGCACAAGUAGAGUGAUCGAAAGAUGAAAAGCACUUUGGAAAGAGAGUUAAACAGUACGUGAAAUUGUUGAAAGGGAAGCGCUUGCAACCAGACUUGCCCGCCGUCGAUCAUCCGGGGUUCUCUCCGGUGCACUCGGCGGCGUUCAGGCCAGCAUCGGUUUCGAGGGUGGGAUAAAGGCCUUGGGAAUGUAGCUUCUUUCGGGGAGUGUUAUAGCCCUCGGUGCAAUGCCGCCUCUCGGGACCGAGGACCGCGCUUCGGCUAGGAUGCUGGCGUAAUGGUUGUAAGCGACCCGUCUUGAAACACGGACCAAGGAGUCUAACAUCUAUGCGAGUGUUUGGGUGUCAAACCCAUACGCGUAAUGAAAGUGAACGGAGGUGAUAACCCUUAAGGGUGCAUCAUCGACCGAUCCUGAUGUCUUCGGAUGGAUUU
rnacentral:rRNA from 1 species